CCCUGUGGAGCUUUAGACAUCAAAGCAGAUCAUGUUAAACACCCCCAAAUAAGGGACCAAACUAAAUGACCCCUGCUUUAAUGUCUUCGGUUGGGGCGACCAUGGGGAAAUAAAAAACCCCCACGCGGACUGGGAGCACUAAACCCCUUCUUUACCUCUCCUCCCACAACUAAGAGCUACAGCUCUAACUAACAGAAUAUCUGACCAAUCAAGAUCCGGCAAUGCCGAUCAACGGACCAAGUUACCCUAGGGAUAACAGCGCAAUCCCCUUUUAGAGCCCAUAUCGACAAGGGGGUUUACGACCUCGAUGUUGGA
rnacentral:rRNA from 1 species